rnacentral:rRNA from 1 species
CAAAUUUUAAAUCACCUAGGUUACCURGGCGAGUUGUAAUUUGAAGAAAGUGGUUUGACGCUCUGGUUUGGUCCAAAUCCUUUGGGAUAAGGUAUCAUAGAGGGUGAGAAUCCCGUUCAUGAUUAAACCCYGGGUGUCACUCAACCCACUUUCUAAGAGUCGAGUUGUUUGGGAUUGCAGCUCAAAAUGGGUGGUAAAUUUCACCUAAGGCUAAAUAUGUGCAAGAGACCGAUAGCGAACAAGUACCGUGAGGGAAAGAUGAAAAGAACUUUGAAAAGAGAGUUAAAUAGUACGUGAAAUUGUUGAAAGGGAAACGAUUGAAGUCAGUCAUGCUUGCAGGGAAUCAGCAUGGUGGUUUAUUCUUCCUUGUGCACUUCCUUGCUUGGCAGGUUAGCAUCAAUUUUGAUUGUCAUUAAAGAACUGGGGGAAUGUGACUUCUUCGGGAGUGUUAUAGACCCUGGUAGAUGUGGCGAUCGGGAUUGAGGAUUGCAGCGAAUGCUUCUUGGCUAGUCACCUGGCUUCUGAUGGUUGCCUCGCUUCCGAUAGCUUGCUAAUGGUGGUGAGACUCGAUUGUCUAGAUGUUGG